rnacentral:lncRNA from 1 species
AUAUAAUGUUAUGUAUCUGUAUGUGUGUGUGUGUGCAAUCAUAGGUCAAAAUUAUUAAAGAUCAACUAAGUGUCGACGACGACGUUUUCCCUGUUUUUUUUCGCACAGUUCACACCGCUGAUAACAUGUUAAAAAAGUCUUUCUUUUUAACACGACUCGUCGAAACAUCGAAUAACACUGCAUACAGGCACUCGAUGUGUGUAGGUACAUAUUUGUACACAUCAUGACCUAUGUAAUAUUGCGAUUUGCACAAACCACAUAAUAUCCGUGUAAUGCUAAUAUAUGUAAUAUUAAUAAUACAAUUACAGUUUUAUAAAUAGGCAAUUAAAAUUACGGACAUGAAUAUUAUACCUUCGUAGGUACAUUAUAAUAAUGGCAUAUCAUUAUAAGUAUUAUUAUUAUUAUUGUACAAUGUGCGCGAGGACAGCAAAAGCUGCAAUAUGGCAAUAUCACGACAACACAAUAUAAUAUAAUAUAAUAUUUUGUUAAUACUCGCGGAAGAGGAGUGCAGCGCGGCGAAGCUGUCGGCGAACCGUAUCGCCAGAAAAUACGAAAAGACGUGUAGGUAGGUAGGUAAUAAUACCUACGAAUAUUAUAAAUUCGUACACAGUUGUAGAUACCUACGCACGAGGAGCAGUAAUGUUGGAAACGAGGAAAAUAAAAAAACAAUAAUAAGUAAUAUUAUUGUUGUAACGGACGCACAAGGCAGCGGACGGACGACUAUAUAAUACGCGCACUUCGUAUAUAAUAAUAAUAAUAAUAUCAAACAGGACAUCCUUUGGGCAACCAACCGGCUGUGAUGUGGCAAUAUCUUCGGUGCGGGCAGGAAGCAAUUGGCCGUCUCCGUCAUCCGUCUCUCUUUAACUCAACAAUUGGCCGUAGUUCCUCCUUCGGCGCCCGUUUCCGGCGUUCGGCGACCACGACGACGACGACGACGACAAAAUAAUAUUAUGUCACAUCGCGCACGAUCAUAGGUAGUCGUAGUCGCAACGCCAACCGCGACAGGUCGCACAGCACGUCGUCCAGAUGGGAAUAAUAUAAGGCAAACGAUAUUGUUAUCUGUGUCAUACACUUUAUCGCUCAGAUUUUACACAUCGCGCCGUGUUGAUAUGAUAAACCACGCUCUCACGAACCCACCGAGAGACCGGAAGGUUGCUAUCACGUUCAAUUGUUCAAAGCUAUCGCGGUAAACACAAACACGCCAAAUCCCACUCGCCUCGUGCAUUGUGCAACAAUGUACAGACUCGAAAACAAACUGCUUAAAAAGCUACCACUUUACGAGCUAUACAUAGACAAUGAUAAGACGUGUCGAAGACAAAAAAGCAGUUCGCAGUUCUUUGUUUCGCAGUCGUGGGAAUGACUUCAUGUGCGGGGUCCGUAUAGUCAAAGUGCAAAAAAGUGUAGCAAUAAUUUAAGUCCUUUAUAAAAUGCAUCGAUAUAUAUUAUUAUUAUUUCCGACUAUAACGCAGAAAUCGUGACGCGCUCAGUUCUGUAAUAUGUGCCACGGCUUGAACUUAAUAUAAUAUUAUCAUGAAACAUUUUUAUUUAUGAAUUUGUUAAAAGUACCUACGAGCAAUAUAAUAGCAUUAGAUAUAAUAUACAUUAUACGAUAAACACACAGUUAUAUUACAAACUUUUAAAUACACAAAGAAUACUGAUGUAGUUUUACAGGUA